rnacentral:tRNA from 1 species
GGGCUUGUGGCUCAGUGGCAGAGCGUCCGCUUUGAACGCACAAGCCCCCGAGUUCGAUCUCUGGCGUCUCCA